UACGGGGGGGGCAAGCGUUGUUCGGAAUUACUGGGCGUAAAGGGCUCGUAGGUGGCCAACUAAGUCAGACGUGAAAUCCCCAGGCUCAACUUGGGAACUGCGUCUGAUACUGGAUGGCUUGAAUUCGGGAGAGGGAUGCAGAAUUCCAGGUGUAGCGGUGAAAUGCGUAGAUAUCUGGAGGAACACCGGUGGCGAAGGCGGCAUCCUGGACCGGUAUUGACGCUGAGGCACGAAAGCUAGGGGAGCAAACGGG
rnacentral:rRNA from 1 species